UAGCUAGUUGGUGAGGUAAAGGCUUACCAAGGCGACGAUCUGUAGCGGGUCUGAGAGGAUGAUCCGCCACACUGGAACUGAGACACGGUCCAGACUCCUACGGGAGGCAGCAGUGGGGAAUUUUGGACAAUGGGGGCAACCCUGAUCCAGCCAUGCCGCGUGAGUGAAGAAGGCCUUCGGGUUGUAAAGCUCUUUCGGCCGGGAAGAAAUCGCAUGGGUCAAUACCCUGUGGAUGACGGUACCGGAAUAAGAAGCACCGGCUAACUACGUGCCAGCAGCCGCGGUAAUACGUAGGGUGCGAGCGUUAAUCGGAAUUACUGGGCGUAAAGCGUGCGCAGGCGGUUUUGUAAGACAGGCGUGAAAUCCCCGGGCUUAACCUGGGAACUGCGUUUGUGACUGCAAGGCUAGAGUACGGCAGAGGGGGGUGGAAUUCCACGUGUAGCAGUGAAAUGCGUAGAGAUGUGGAGGAACACCAAUGGCGAAGGCAGCCCCCUGGGUCGAUACUGACGCUCAUGCACGAAAGCGUGGGUAGCAAACAGGAUUAGAUACCCUGGUAGUCCACGCCCUAAACUAUGUCAACUAGGUGUUGGGUGGGUAAAACCAUUUAGUACCGUAGCUAACGCGUGAAGUUGACCGCCUGGGGAGUACGGCCGCAAGGUUAAAACUCAAAGGAAUUGACGGGGACCCGCACAAGCGGUGGAUGAUGUGGAUUAAUUCGAUGCAACGCGAAAAACCUUACCUACCCUUGACAUGCCAGGAACUUGCCAGAGAUGGCUUGGUGCCCGAAAGGGAGCCUGGACACAGGUGCUGCAUGGCUGUCGUCAGCUCGUGUCGUGAGAUGUUGGGUUAAGUCCCGCAACGAGCGCAACCCUUGUCGUUAAUUGCCAUCAUUUGGUUGGGCACUUUAACGAGACUGCCGGUGACAAACCGGAGGAAGGUGGGGAUGACGUCAAGUCCUCAUGGCCCUUAUGGGUAGGGCUUCACACGUCAUACAAUGGUCGGUACAAAGGGUUGCCAAGCCGCGAGGCGGAGCCAAUCCCAGAAAGCCGAUCGUAGUCCGGAUUGCAGGCUGCAACUCGCCUGCAUGAAGUCGGAAUCGCUAGUAAUCGUGGAUCAGCAUGUCACGGUGAAUACGUUCCCGGGUCUUGUACACACCGCCCGUCACACCAUGGGAGCGGGUUCCGCCAGAAGUAGGUAGCCUAACCGCAAGGGGGGCGCUUACCACGGCGGGGUUCGUGACUGGGGUGAAGUCGAAACAAGGUAGCCGUAGGGGAACCUGCGGCUG
rnacentral:rRNA from 1 species